rnacentral:rRNA from 1 species
AUUGAACGCUGGCGGCGUGCUUAACACGUGCAAGUCGAUCGGUAACGCGGGGGCAACCCUGGCGACGAGAGGCGGACGGGUGAGGAACGCUUGGGAAUCUGCCCUUCAGCGGGGGACAACCCGGGGAAACUCGGGCUAAUACCGCAUACGCUCCACGGAGGAAAGCCGGGGACCGCAAGGCCUGGCACUGAAGGAUGAGCCCAAGCCGGAUUAGCUAGUUGGCGGGGUAACGGCCCACCAAGGCGACGAUCCGUAGCUGGUCUGAGAGGACGAUCAGCCACACCGGAACUGAGACACGGUCCGGACUCCUACGGGAGGCAGCAGUGGGGAAUAUUGGACAAUGGGGGAAACCCUGAUCCAGCAACGCCGCGUGGGUGAAGAAGGCCUGCGGGUUGUAAAGCCCUUUCGGUAGGGACGAAAGCUCUUGCCUUAACACGGCAGGAGGUUGACUUAACCUACAUAAGAAGCACCGGCUAACUCUGUGCCAGCCGCCGCGGUAACAC